AUGUAGGGCAAUCUAUCUUUAAGUAGGGAGAAAUUACUUUAAAAGAAAUUAAUCCUAGAUAGUUUUCUCUUCAAGUCAAAUGUCUUAU
rnacentral:pre_miRNA from 1 species